UUUACUGCAAGGGGUGUUUAACGACCUCGAUGAUUAUCCAUGAUGAUCUCGCACUCGGUCAGCUCUAGGUUUUCACCUAGUUCAUGAUCUUACAAGAAUUGAGAAGCCUGUCGUUUACUAGUUUUAUAAUAUGAGACUUUGGAGUUCAUAUAAUUUACAUUCAACGUUUUUUUUUCAAGGCUUUUUGACUCUCAAUGUUGACACACCCCCCCCCCCUUUUCAAUUGAUUGGAUAAAAUGAUUGGAUUGCCGCCCCUAUUUCAAAC
rnacentral:lncRNA from 1 species